rnacentral:rRNA from 1 species
UGCAGUCGAGCGGGAAGGUAGCUUGCUACCUGACCUAGCGGCGGACGGGUGAGUAAUGCUUAGGAAUCUGCCUAUUAGUGGGGGACAACAUUCCGAAAGGAAUGCUAAUACCGCAUACGCCCUACGGGGGAAAGCAGGGGAUCUUCGGACCUUGCGCUAAUAGAUGAGCCUAAGUCAGAUUAGCUAGUUGGUGGGGUAAAGGCCUACCAAGGCGACGAUCUGUAGCGGGUCUGAGAGGAUGAUCCGCCACACUGGGACUGAGACACGGCCCAGACUCCUACGGGAGGCAGCAGUGGGGAAUAUUGGACAAUGGGCGAAAGCCUGAUCCAGCCAUGCCGCGUGUGUGAAGAAGGCCUUUUGGUUGUAAAGCACUUUAAGCGAGGAGGAGGCUACUUGGAUUAAUACUCUAGGAUAGUGGACGUUACUCGCAGAAUAAGCACCGGCUAACUCUGUGCCAGCAGCCGCGGUAAUACAGAGGGUGCGAGCGUUAAUCGGAUUUACUGGGCGUAAAGCGUGCGUAGGCGGCUUUUUAAGUCGGAUGUGAAAUCCCUGAGCUUAACUUAGGAAUUGCAUUCGAUACUGGGAAGCUAGAGUAUGGGAGAGGAUGGUAGAAUUCCAGGUGUAGCGGUGAAAUGCGUAGAGAUCUGGAGGAAUACCGAUGGCGAAGGCAGCCAUCUGGCCUAAUACUGACGCUGAGGUACGAAAGCAUGGGGAGCAAACAGGAUUAGAUACCCUGGUAGUCCAUGCCGUAAACGAUGUCUACUAGCCGUUGGGGCCUUUGAGGCUUUAGUGGCGCAGCUAACGCGAUAAGUAGACCGCCUGGGGAGUACGGUCGCAAGACUAAAACUCAAAUGAAUUGACGGGGGCCCGCACAAGCGGUGGAGCAUGUGGUUUAAUUCGAUGCAACGCGAAGAACCUUACCUGGUCUUGACAUAGUAAGAACUUUCCAGAAUGGAUUGGUGCCUUCGGGAACUU